rnacentral:lncRNA from 1 species
ACUUUAAAUGUAUGAAUGAAAAUCAAAAUCGAAACCGGAAUAAAUAUUGUCAUUAAUAUAUUUUCUUUAUCUUGAAAUUGAAAUGCAUUGUUGUAAGUUAUUAAAAUGACUUUAGUUGAUUAUAUUCAUUAUAUAUUAUAAAAAUUAUGAUUAUUAUUAUUCAAAAUAAUUAUUGUUAAUAAUAAUAAUAAUUAUUAUUAUUUAAUUAUUAUGACUACUAUUAUUAUAAUAAUCAUAACAUAAUAAUAAUUAUUUUGAUGAUGAUGAUGAUGAUGAUGAUGAUUAUUAUUAUUAUUAUUAUUAUUAUUAUAAAUGGGGUAAAAAGGGAUUUUGAAUUUUUACUAAAGGUACAAAUAUCAAUUCACUUGUCAUUCUUGCCUUUCCUUGGGAAUGAGAUUCUCAUUCCAUAAAUUUAUAAGGUCCAUUCAAAUUUCAUUCUCAUUCUCCGUCCUUAUAAGAAAUUUUAAAAUAUAUCAAAGGUAAUACAAUAAACUAAUACAUGUAUAAUAUGUAUAUUUAGACUUAAUAUGAUCACUACUUACAUGAUGAUUUUUCACAAUAAAUACUUAUAUGUCAUAACAUAAUUAUUUGGUAUAUGGCUGACCUCUGAUGUAUUAUAUAAUUUCUUUUAUUUUAGAUGUAAACAAGUAAAUAAAUCUCAUUCCCAUUUCCAUUCUCAAUUAGUAAAUACAUCAUAAAUGUUGUAAAUAACUAAUUUUAUUAAAUUAGUAGUGCAAUUAUAUACAAAUAAUAAUAAGAAAAUUAUAUUUACACCACUUUUAUUUUGUCGUAUAUACAUCUAAUCAUCUCAAAAGUUUGAAAUGUUUUUUGCACCACCUUUGUUUUUAAGUUUGUAUCAAUAAAUCACGUCGACACUAAAAAUGAUUAUUUUACCUCUAAAUGAAUUAAAAGAAUAUUUUAUUCUAUAAAAUUUUUAAAAANNNNNUUAAUUAAUUAANNNNNGUAAAAGAGAUUAUAAUAUUUAUUAUUAUACAUAUGGGAGAACAUUGGUGCUGCAGCACCAAGAGAGAUACGCUGCAGCACUAAAAUGAGAAAGCUUUGAGAUUGAAAUAUAAUUCCUUCGUAAUUAAUUAAUUAGUUUAUUUUAAAUAAAUGCGAAAAGAUGGAAGAAUGGGCCACAUAUAUCAUUUUCACCAAAUGAAAAAAUCUUCCCAAAACGCGAAAAGAUGGAAGAAUGGGCCACAUAUAUCAUUUUCACCAAAUGAAAAAAUCUUCCCAAAACGAUAAAAGAUGGAAGAAUGGACCACUGGGACUGAGUUCUGGCUUGGCGAAAAACCUGAAUCAGAUAACGUGAUAAACCUCAUCUCUAUUGUCAGCUGAAUAUGAGACUUUGAUUUUCUAACAUUGUUUUUAGCUGUAAUCAUAUUCCAAAAUCGAGUGUAUAAAUAUUAAAUAAUGUAAAAGUUGCCUAAACGAUUAAUCUAAGUGAGAUUGAAAUGGAUUUGUUGAUGGGUACGUAUUAUUUUUAGGAGCUUAUUAAAUUACAUAAUUAUGUAAUAUAUAUCAAUUCAACAGUUGUUACUAGUAACAAAAAAAUAUAAACAACAAAAAUUAUAUGUGAGUUAAUAAUAGCAACUGUUAGGUUCAUGUAUAUUACAUAAUUAUAUCACUUAACAACUGUCUUAUUUUCAAUAAAUAAAGAACCAUUUGUUGCAUUUCGUGUCUGUAUGGCGUUCAUUGAUUCUCUUUGUUGUUUAAUUUUAUAUUUCUGCAAAAAUCAACCGGUCUUGGAUAAAUUAUCUCACUACGAUCGAUAUACGUAUCAGGGAGGUAUCUAGUACAGGACCAGCUGAGGCACGUGCCCCCAGCUUGCUUUCGAUUUUUCCUUUUCUUCGUUCGUAAUCGUUAAAAUAAAGUACUUUGUUCAUAGUUUGAGAAAUUACCCCAACUGAAUUAUAAAAUUAUGAAAUCACCUCAUAGAUUUUUAAAAAGUUCACAUUGUCCCUAGAUUAAAUGUCUAAUUCUAAAUAAUUUGAUCAAUUACUAAAAUAUUGUGAAACUUAAAUAAAAAUAAAAAAACAAUAGACUAUUAAGAGUUUUUCUUCCAUCAAAGAAUGAGGAACAUUUGACGCAAGUGAAAUUAAGUCCCUUUUCUCUCUUUUGGUUAUGUUACCUGCGCCUGAAUCUUGAGCGAAACUUGAACAACAUAAAUUAAAAAAAAAAAUUACAAACAAAAGAAAUUAACUUUAAUCUUCUCUUUAGGGUUUCUUUCCAAUGCUUUGAAUCAAAAACACACUUUCUUUAUUUGUUUGUCACGAAGUUAAUGCAUGGAUUUCAUUCCAGUUCUCUAAAUCAGAAGUACUUUCCUUCAAUUAUUUAGUCUUUCAAAAUUGAUCCAUAAGUUGUAAGUCUAGAUAAUUCUAAUUUUUAAUUUUCGGAUUAAUUUUUUAUCUAGUNNNNNUUAAUUAAUUAANNNNNAUAAAAUAAUAAAAAUAAAUUAUGUGAGAUAAAAAAUAUUUAAUUUAAUUAAUUUAAUCGUUUGUAUAAAAUAAGUUUAUAUAAAACAUUUGUAAUUAGAUUAUUACUCUUGUAAACCAGUGCCGAUAUGUACAGUAUGCUAUUUGUGUGAGUUUUCUAUCCAAUUUUUCCGUCCAAUAUGAUUACAAAUAAAAAAAAGAAAAACGUGGACUCCAUCGACGAGACCUCACGUGGGCCCACUAAUCUUGAUGAUCUCAUCUUUUUCGUGUGAAAAAAAACACCCCCCUUACAACGACACCGUCUUUUCUUUGUCUUUCCAUUCGUUUUCGUCAGCCAACACAAACACUCACUUAAUAGCCCCCCCAUUUUCGUUCACUCCUAUCCAUUGUCCACGCGUCCAACGACGAUUGCUUCUCCGGCUCUAAUCACAGGAUUUUCGUUAAAUGGACGUACGACAUGGGCCCCAUCUCUGCGCAUACCAGACCGUCCAUGCACUUUGUGAAAAGAGAAUAAAACUAUUUAAGAGUUGUACUAUUGGCACCGUUCAUUAAUUUUAUAAAAUUUUAUUAUCUCACAAUUAUAUUUAAAAAUAAAUAUAAAUAAAAUAAAAUUAUUUAUAUUUUUUUUAAUUUUAUUUUUCUUGAGCAAUAUAAAUAUUUUUUAUUAUCAUUAAAAUAAUGUGAAUUUAAAAAAUAAUCCUUUAAGUUAAAACAAAAUUUUUGUAAUAAACAUAACAAUUUAAUUAAGAUACAAUACAAUAGAAAAAUAAGUCAAAUAAAAUUUUAUCCCACUGUAAAUAAUUUUUUAAGAAUUCUCAAACUAAUUACUAAAUGAAAAAUUUAUAGGUGAGAUAAAAUUGUAUUAGACUCAUAAAAAUAUUAAUUAUUUUCUAACUAUAAUAUUUUUCUUUUUUUAGAUUUUUUCUUUAAAAAUUAAUUAAUAAAAAAGUUUGAAGAGAGGAAUACCAAUAUUAAGACUGAAAAAGUGAAAAAUAUUAGAAACUAAAAAAUUCAUAAAUAAAAAAAAGUAUUCAUUUAGAAAAAAAUAGUAUUUUUGACAUUAAAUGAAAUAUAAUUAAAAAAAGAGUUUCAAUAAGAUUUUAGAGGGUGUUAAUGUUGGGGAAAAAUUAGGUUUUUAAAUUUUUUUAAAACCUUUUGAAGAUCGCUCUCAUAUAAUAUAUAAGAAUUUAUAUUCUAGAAAUCGUACCUUGAAAAUUUGAGUUGGCUUUUUCCGCUGAAGUGAUUUAGGCUCCUAGAUCACGAUCCGCCACCACCACUCCUGUUAGAUCACGAUCUGUCACCACCACGCUUGUUAGAUCACGAACUGUCACCAAUGAUCUUCCAAGUUAUGACUCAGGUUCGAUCUACACUUGACGUGUGGGCGCCUUUAUCACUACCAAAGCAACUAGCACGAGAAAAUUUUUCUCUCAACAAUAGAGAGAAAAAUCUUNNNNNUUAAUUAAUUAANNNNNCUUCCGGUGAUGUCCGGCAGUGGUCCGGCGAAGUCCGGUGGUAGUCCGGCGAUUUUCCGGCGGAUGUCUAUUUAUAAUAUUAAAUUAUUAAAAUAAAAUAAUUAUUAUUAAUAAUAUUAAAUAAGUUAAAAAAUUAAAGGGUAAUUUUGAAAACUUUAAUUUUUAAUAUAAGAGGAAUUUAAAAUUUUUACUAAUUAAUAUAAGAUAAUAUUAGAUUUUAUUUUUUUUUAUUUAUUUUAGUUUAACAAUAUAAAUUUUUUUAACUUUAAAUGGAUAAAUUAAUUGGAUUUUGGAUAUCCAUUAAAUAUUCAUACCCAUCCAAUAUUUAAUUAGAUAUUUUUUAAAAUAUCCAUAUCCAUAUCUAAGAAGAUUUUGAAUGGAUAUUAUCCAAUCUAAAUGGAUUGGAUAUAUGAAUAUCUAAUUUGGAUGGACCAAUUUACCAUCCCUAGGCAUCAGCAUAAUUCAGUACGUAAGCCAUAGAAAAAGACAACUAUGACACGUGUCUCUCACAGCCCACGUUCCAAGGAGUUGAAUUAUGAAUAUAAUAUAAAUAAUAUUUAUUUAAUUGUUAGAAGGAUUUCUCUGUCCCCGAACCACCUAAAUCAUACGAUAUUGUCAAGCCCAAGCCCAAGCCCAACCCCUCAACCAACCAGAUUCUUAAUUCUAUUCCAUUUCCUCUAUUAAAUAAUAAGGGAUAUUAUCAUUCGUAUACUCUAUAAAUAUUAUGUUAUUAAAAAUAUUACAAUACUUUAAGAGUAUAUUGAUCGUCUAUCAUAAAUUAACAAAAGUUAUCAGCCGACCACCAAACCGCUAGCUGUCGUUUGAAAGUUAAUGAAAUUAUAGUGAAUUGACGAUUUUACCUUUAUAAGUAUCACUUAUAUACCUUUAAAUUCUUUUAUUAUCAUUUGUAUCAUAUGAAAAGACCAAAUUAUCCCUCUGGCGUUAUCCUAUUUAAACAGUAAGUAACGGUUUGGUGGAGGCAGAUAUAUUUUGUCAAUUUAUGGUAGACGAUUGAUACACCCUCAAAGUAUUGUAGUAUUUUUUAUAACAGAACAUUUAUAGGGUAUACGAAUGAUAAUUUUUCAAAUAAUAAUUCUAAACUUUCAAGACACCCCACAAUCCCCUUUCAGUAUUAAAUAUAUGGGUCCGGUUACGGUACAACUAUGGUAUCGUGUUACAGUUACAUUCAGUCGUUGGAUCUAUUUAGAUGGAUGGAAUCUACUGAGAUUCAAAGGUCGGAUGUAAUUAUAGUACGGUAUCAUAAUUACACCAUAAUUUUCUUCUAAAUAUAUAUAUAAUGCAAUAAUAAUAGAAUAUUAUGAUUGUUAUAUACAACAUAUGGGUAGCGUGGCGUGGCGUGAGUUAUUUACGAUUAUAAGAUAAAAUAGAGGGUGUCAAGUGAAUAAGAAGUUUUGGCCCCGGGGGGGGGGGGGGGGGGGGGGGGNNNNNUUAAUUAAUUAANNNNNUUUUUUUAUUUUCUAGGGUUAAAUUGGUAAUUUAAUUAUUUUCUUUUUAUUAAUGUCCAAAGAAAAUUAUUAUAAAAGGGUAAUAUUGUAAAAAUAAGCCAAAAUAAAUGAAAAGUAACGGUAGGGGUAUCAUACUUUAACAACAGAGAUGUUUUGAAAUAUUUUUAAAAAUACAGGGAUUAAAUGGACACUAAUCCUAAAACACAUGGAUUAAAUGAGUUUUUACCCAUCAAUAAUUAAUCAAACAUGGAAAAGUAAUCGAAAUUGAAAAAUCUAUACAGAUAGGGAAAUUCUCCUUUUGGCAUCAGUGGGUCUACAUAAUUUAUUUUGCAUCAAUUAUGCACCAUCACAUUCUUCAACUGCUUUCAAUUAUUUAUGCUCCAAUAACUGCGAAUUGUUCUUUUCAGUGCAAUCAACUUGCAACUCCCCUAAUCGCAAAAAAACUUACAACUUCCCUUUCAUAAAUAGUAGUGCCCAUUUCCCCAGUAGUCUCGCAUUAACAUUUAAACAUGAUUAUCAAACACUUGGUUUAGUGGUGACCCUUUAUUUUUAAGGUCAGAAGUUACCUAAUCUUUUCAUAUAGAUAUGGGAGUAGAUUUUUUUUGUUUUUCUCCCAAUUUCACAGUAAUUAGCUAGUAAACCCCUCUAACCUUAGAGAAGAGUUGAGAAGUUAUGGAUCGAAUUUCUGAUUGAUUACAUUAAAAAUGGUUCCGUUAAUUUCCAUCAAACUUAUUUUUAUAAUAUCAAUACACUAAGGGCGUGUUUGGCGCCCCGCAUAACACUGUAUUAGAACGCCAUAUUGUAUUAAAAUAUUACAAUAAAAUGAUUGGCUGCUAUGCGGUAUUGCAUAAAAAAAAAUUAAUGCAGCAAAACCCGUAUAAUGGAAUCUAGCGUGAGUGUCGAGUUGAUUUGAUUUAAUUUUUAUUUUACAAAUUAUAUAUUUAAAAAAUACUGAAAAAAUAAAUGUUAUGCUACUAAAAAUUUAAGGUCAUAAGCUCAAAUCUAUUGAAGAAUGAUGAUAUAUUUUUUAACAUUUAUAUUACAACAAUAAUGUUAAAUUUUCAAAAUUUAAGACUUUUAUAUUCAAUAUUUUUCUAAGUAUUAAAUAUUAAUAAAUAUUAUUUUCUAAAUAUGUAAUUUAAAUUAAUCAGCAAAGGAAUUAAUACAAUACAAUGCAACACCAAACAUAGUAUAACUAAAAACUAAUACAAUAUAGUGUAGCACCAAAUAUUGUACAAUAUUAUUAUAAUAUAGUGUUAAUACAAUACAACAUAAUACAAUACACCUGCAUUAAAAUAAUGCAAUACAACGUAAUACAAUAUAACGUGUCAAACGUACCCUAAUUGUAUUGUAGUAUCUAAAAAAAAAAGAUAAUUAGACUGUUUUAACCAUGAUUAUCUAACAUUAGAUUGAAUUAAAAGAGUCAAAAUUUAUGUUAAAAUNNNNNUUAAUUAAUUAANNNNNAGCAAAUUCAGCCAAUCGUAAAUACUUGCUCCAUGAUCCUUGAAAGUUGAUAGCAUAUCCUCGUAACAUAUCUUCAAGCGUCUGAAUCAUUUUUUCUGACUAGUCGUCCAUUUGAGGGUGAAAUUUUGUACUAAAUUUUAAUUUUGUUCCUACAGCGCUAUGUAACUUUUCCCAAAAUGUCAAGGUAAACCACGUAUCUUGGUCAGAAAUAAUAGAAACAGGCACACCAUGUAGUCUUGCUAUCUCCUUUAUGUAUGUCUCUGCAAGCUGGUCCAUAGUGUACGUCAUUUGAGUAGGCAAGAAGUGAGCAGACCUUGUGAAUCGAUCGAUGAUCACCCAAAUAGCUUCAUGUAUUUUUGCAGUCCUCGGAAGACCAAUGACGAAGUCCAUUAUGAUUUCUUCCCACUUCCAUUAUGGAAUUUGAUUGGAUUCUGAAAGUCAUGUUGGUCUCUAGUGCUCUGCUUUGAUUUGUUGACAAGUGAAAUAUUUUACCACGAACUUGUUUUAGCUUUAAGUAGGAUUUCUUUCUUUGGAUCUUCAUUAUCUGACAUAUAUAUCCUGUCCUCGAAUAAGAUGAUUCCCUUCUCUGACUUCUUGAAUGACGUCUCCUUUGAGUUGACCUUUAUAUUCAAGUUCUUCAAGUAGGAAUCGCUUUCCUGCCGCUCCUUAAUCUUUUCUACUAAGGUCGAGUGAAAUGUCAUGUUGGCUAAUUUUCCUACUACUAGCUCGAUCUUUGCCUUGCAUAUAUCAUUUUGUAAUGGCUUAGGUAGAAUCCUUAAAGCUGACAAGCUUGACUUUCGACUUAGUGCAUCUACUAGCACAUUUGCUUCUCCAGAAUAAUAGUUUAUUUUGCAGUCAUAGUCAUUACUAUGUAGCCCCAUUAAAUAAUGACGUCAUGUAUUUUAAUAUGUGCACCACCGCUGCCAACUCUAAAUCGUGCGUAGGAUAAUUUUUCUCAUACUCCUUCAAUUGUUUGGAAGCGUACGUAAUGACUUUUCCAUUUUGCAUGAGGACUGUUCUGCAAAAUUUAUUGUACUUGUAGGCACACGAAUCUACCGUAGAAUAGGUUUUGUGGCGACGACUGUCGAAACCAUGAGGAGGUAGAUUUAAUUAUGUGUAUAUGUGAGUUUAUUCGAAGUGAAAUUUUUUUCAUCUUAAGAUUUAAAAUAAAAUGGUAGGAAUGAAUUAAAGAUGAAAACAAUGCAAAUAAAACACUUGAGUCUCUAGAUUCACACUCAACAUUCAUCAUGAGCUAAUAAAUAUAGUAUCAAGCGCUCAUUGUGCUAGAGGUAAUGAUCUUCCACUAAGUGUGGUGUUAAGAACACGCUGUGUUAGACGAUAAUAAUCUUUCUGUUGAAAACGUGGCAAGACCGUCCAUUAAAUAGCUUAGAUACACUCUUUGCCAACACUAAGUCAUGAUAACCCACAAAAGACUAUACAUANNNNNUUAAUUAAUUAANNNNNUUUUUUAUGAAUUUGUUUUGAGGACUCUCUGGAAUCUGUCGGCUCGCCGUUUUCUUUAUAACGGCUCGCCGUUAUCACGCGUUAAUUGAACAGUCCUUCGCCUUCCUCCUCAUUUCGGCUUCUCUUUCUCUCUCUCUCUCACCUCAACCCGCGACUGCACCAGUUCUCUCCUCUCAAAUCCAUCACUUUUCUUGUCAUUUUUCACCAAAUUGAAGCAUUACAAACCAUUUCUAUCAUUUCUAACACCUUUUAACCGAUUCAAAUCCUUCUCUUUCUUCAAAUUUUGAAAAAUCUCAUCUUGAAACCCUAGAACCAGCCGACUCUCAUUCGUUCACUUUGACCCAAAUUUCUUCGUCUUUCCAACCACAUUUUCACCCACAAUCACUAUCUCAUCUCUAAAACUUCAUUUUCACAAUUUUUCUCAUCCAUGGCGGAACGACCUCCAAGGCGUGUUCGAACCAAGCACACUGCUUCACGCCGUUCCAGUCCACCCAGGUCUCCUCCUCAAGACUUCGAAAGUCUUCAUUUUCCCGAUGCUACCUCUGCUCAGCGAUUCCGUGAGAAGUUCAUGGGUAAACCCGUAACUCCCUCUUUUUCUCUUAACACUUCGGAGUUCUCGGAUAUUUCUGUUUGUGGUCACUCAAUUACUCAAAUGCUUAGUCAUUGGAAACAAGCUUUAAGUGUUGAUGAACCUAUUUAUGAAAAUCUUGUUCGAGUCUUUUAUUCAAACAUCGAUUUCUCCUCUUCUAGUCGUGACGAGCUUCAUACAUUUGUAGGAGGUAUUCGUAUUGAACUUGAUGAACCCGAAUUAUGUAGUAUUCUAGGAAUCGCUUAUGGAGGAUUAGAUCUGUACACCUCUAGGAAAGAACUAGAGUUUAGUAAUUUUCGUCAUGUGGAUGGUGUACGGAACAUUUGUCGUCGUCGGGAUCUUUCCGAUGACAUCUGCUCUUUGUCCUUUAGGUCUCAACUCCUCCCUUUUCAGAUUCGAAUACUUCACAUUAUUCUCCAACACAUGGUCACUCCUAGGCAGGGUCACACUGAUGAGGUCACUAGGCUUGAUAUUGGUCUUUUAGACUCUCUCAUCCGUAGACGCCAUGUGAGCCUAUCCUACACCAUUAUGUGUCAUAUGCUGACCACUCCUAAAGUCUCCAACCGAUCCCUUCCUUAUGGCAGCAUCAUUACUAAAAUCUUGAACCACUUUCAUGUUCCUAUCGUCGAGCCUGUUUUUCUCGAGACUCGUAAACUCGGUCGAGACAUUAUUUCUGCCAUUGGUUUCUUUAAGAAGCGUGGGAAAUGGGAAAAGACCACAUCCUCCAAAAACGAAGCCACACUGAUUGCACCCGAGGAUGAUCGCAUGCUGAAUGAUGUCUACUCCGAGGAUGAGCUGCCUGACUUCCGUCUUGGGGCUAGACCACGUGUUCCUCGUCGAGCAGCAGCCNNNNNUUAAUUAAUUAANNNNNGAGCCUUGCAUCCUUCCCUCCAUUUGUAGCUCAAGAGUAUGCUCAGGAUAUUAACGCAGAGGAUGAAAAAGGGAAGAAAUGGCCGCUUCGCUUGAGAAUUCGCAAGGGAAAGCAAAAGAAGCGUGUUCUAUCUGCUGGUUGGCGCCGUUUUGUUCGGCAGAAGGGGCUUCAAAUUGGUGACAAAGUUUUGUUUUUUACAGGACACAACGAAGCAGAGAUUGCAACUGGAGUCAAGUACAAGAUCAAAGUGCAGAAAGCAGUCAAGGUGUUUAAUGUUGUUUUCGGCCAUGCGCCAUGUACUGAUUAGGAAAUAUUUUUAUACGGAGGCUGCUAACUUACAACUGCUGUAAGGUGCAGCCUCUCACGUAAACAGCAUUUAGGAUUUAGGUUCAUAUCAGAUACUGGCAACUUGCACCUGCUGUAAUGUGCAGCCUUGAAGUAUUUGUGACUUGACCCAUAUCAGAUACUGUUAGUAUUUUUAUAUUUAUUCCAGUAAAGUUGUAGUAGUUGCAGAUUCUGCAACCUAGCCUUGUCCUAAAGUUGUAAUUCAAUAACAGUCAAGGUGUUUAAAGCCAUUUUAGGCUUUUUAUUACUCCUCAUAAAUUUAUUAUUCCAAUAAACUUCGUCGUGCCGCGUGAGACUUCCCACACUGACGUGCCUGCACUUUGCCAAAUUGAACCACAAUCAGUUUAAUUUUCAUUACUUUUGUGUUAAAGCAUUUCUGGGUUUGAUUUUUUUUUUUUUUUUUCUGCUGUUGUUGUGGGUAGCUAUUAAUUUUGCCAGUACAUUUUAGUUGGCCUCAUGAAUUGUUAUGUUUUUACUUACAAUUAAAUAUUGUUCAAAGAUGAACAAAUAGACUAAUUUUGCUUUUGAGAAAAUUAAUUAAUUAGUUAAACAAGUAAUUAAAAAAUUAAUUAGUUGAUACAUUUAUACGGGAGAUUGGGGGGAGCAGAGGUGAAGGACAGAGAAUUGGAGGGGAUUUGUGUGUAUACUUGGAUGGUAGGAUUGGAACGGUGUGGUCUACCUGUACAAAUCUAAGAUGUUCCAUGAUACUUAACAUUCAAAAUAUACUGAUAUUGUGAAUAAAUAAAGUAAAAAUAUUGUUUUAUACACCACUUUAUUAUACUUUAUCUUAUAUGUAUUCUAUAAUAUUUAUGCUUGUCGUCAUUUAUGUAUGAUCAUAUUAUAUUGUAUUAUUUUAACGUAAUAUUGUUCAUUAAUUUUCUACUUCUAUCUUUGUAUUAAAUAUUAUUAUCAUAAUCCAAAAUUCUCUUCACAGUCUCACUCUUCCUCAACUGUCAAUCUUUCAUCAUGAGAUGACUAUACAACUACUACAAACAAUAAUAAACAACAUUAGUGAAACUAAGAUAUGAGUUGUGAAUCAUCAUCAAAUUAUAACAACAUCCGAAGUUAGCUCAAUUCUUUUUUUUUUNNNNNUUAAUUAAUUAANNNNNUAUAUAUAUAUAUAUAUAUAUAUAUAUAUAUAUAUAUAUAUAUAUAUAUAUAUAUAUAUAUAUAUUUAUUUAUUUAUUUUCCAUUGUGAUUGUCUUCGUAGCCAUCAUCGUCAUCAUCAUUCAUUAUCAUUAUUCUUGCGGUUUUUAUACCUGGAUGUGCAACAAAUUAAAAAAUUUAAAAAAGGCACAUAAAUAUUUCAUUAAGCAUAUGAAGGUUAUAAGAGUAAUUUUACUAAACAAACAAAAUUAACUUUUAACUUUUCGAAAUCACUUUUCAGCCUUUAAAAAACAAUAUCGAUUGGGCUCUUAGAAUAUCAUAGGUUUCAUUAGUGUUGUGGUGUUGUAUUUUUAAGUUAUAGUUCGUUAUUGUGAAAUAAAAAUUUUAAAUGUGAAAUAAAAGUUGAUAGUAUUUGAUAAACAUGAUUUUUAAAUAAUAGUUUUUUGACAAAACUAAUAAUGAUGUUAUAAUUUUCUAUGAAAUAAAAUUAUUCAACUUCUAUUAACACAGCUGUAAUUGUUUAUUAAACACUUUAAAGCUGUGUUUUUUAAGCCACGACUCCUCAGCACGAGCACUAAAUGGAGCCUACAUCAAAUUGAUUAAAUUUAAAUUUGAUUUUGACAAGAAUAAGCUAAAUAGGACCGACUCAACCUAUGUCGUUUCUAUUCAGCUAUUAACUUCAAUAAUUUGAAUCAUGGAGUUGUUAUUCUUUGUUGAUAAAUAAAAUAAAAUAAUUAUCGAUCUUAAUUAAUUUUGGUUUUUCUUUUCAUGAAAUAUUCAAGUUGCAAUUUUUUUUUGUAUUUUUAUAAGCGAAGGAAACCAAUAUGCCAGAUUUUAUAGAGGAUAUCGGUUUUUGGCAAAGCCUUAACAACUAAGUACCACUCAUGACUUGGGAUCUUUUAACUUAAAAUCUUAGGGUACAUGCUUAAACCACUAAUUCAUUAACGAAUGGUUUCUUUAAAUUUUUUUCUUUUUUAAAAAUUAAUAAUUUCAAUAAGGGGACCUGAUGCUAGAGAGCGAUUUCUAUUUAUGCAUGGCAUUAGCUCCGAAGAUACGGAAUAAAAAGCAGUACCUGUAUGUCCAACUUUGUAUGUAUUUCAAUUUUUGAAUAAAUGUUCUUUUAGUCUUAUAAUAAUUUGAGUUAGUUAUUCAAUUUGUCCUUAUAAUUUUAAAAAUUACAUGAAAUACACAUUUUGUUACUUUCAUAGUUGUUGUACUUAAUUUUUUAAGGUAAAAUAAUAAUUCUGUCUGAUCUAACAUAAAAUUGAAAUAAAUUUAACAUGCAACUAAUGAAAAUAUAAGAUAAUUAAGUAUAUUUUAACAAAAAGAAAUAUAUACACAUAGACCUUUAAAUUUUUUCUAAAAUAACAAAAUUUCUUAUUACAAAAAUCAAUACCCUUUCAUAUAUAUAUAUAUAUAUAUAUAUAUAUAUUNNNNNUUAAUUAAUUAANNNNNCCUCACUAAAGAAGAGUUAUAUGUAUAUAAUUUUUCAAUGUGAAAUCAUUUGAAUUAUUAAAGUAAGACAAAAAAAAAAAUUUCAACACACUAUAUAACAUAAUACACAGCAAUGAAUUUGUGUGCUUUGUUUAUAUUUUAGUUUAUUUCUUUCUUUAAUAUUUUAAAUGAUAACUUGUUAGAUAAUGACUACACACACACGAUCGCGUGCAGUAACUGGGAAUCCUAUUACACCUAAAGCCAACUUCAAUUCACCAAACCAAGGUUAAUCUCGUGUAGUGACUAUGGACUCGUACAAGGAUAUUGACGGACCGAACCAAGGAAAAACUAUCUCAUAAUGGAUGAACGGAAAUAAUCCUUUAAUAAGCAAAUUUUUAUAUAUAUAGAGAAAGACAAAGAGAGAUUUUUCAGACCUUAACAAAGUGUAAAAUCCUAAAUUAGAACAUUAUAUAUGUAUGUAUGUAUGUAUAUAGAGGAGUAGUUGAUGCCUAAAUGAAUUUUUAUGCCCUAUUUCCCCUAGGAUUCGAACUCAGUUGGCCAAUUACAAAAUAGUUAAUUAAAGAACUAUAUACAUAUCAAAUUGAUCUUUAAUAAGUAGAUUUGAAUUUUUUUUUUCCAAAAAACAAAUUUUGAAAACAAAUUUUGAAAAGUUGUUGGUACCAAAAGAACCCUUGCACUUCGCGAUUAUGACAGUACUAGCUAGUUUAAGCUUAGUCGAAUUAAUAAAUUUUUUUUUUGAAGUUACAUGGUAAUCUAAGGCUCCCUUUGACAAUUAAACAUUACAAGUCAUAAUUACAGUAAAAUAAAAAUUAUAAUUGUGAAAUAAACUUAUCAGAUGUGACUUUUAAAUUUUGAGGAAUAAUAUUUUUGAAAAAAAUUUGAAAAAUAAUAAUUUUUUUUUAAAAAAAUGAAGCUAAUACUAUGAGUUCCUAUUUAUUUGGAAUUAAAUUAAUAUAACUUUUAAGUUGUAAUAUAUUUUAUGUAUCCGUAACAUACUUUUACUGCUGCAGCUAUGACAUCAAAGUUAAAAGCAUACUAACUGUUGCGACACAGCAACACCAUGCAAAGCCUAAAUGAACUUACACAUUCGUUUGAACUUGUCUUUUAAAUGAGUCAAAUGCUCGCUUUUGGUAACACUGAAAUAGAAAUCUGGAUAAUCGGAUUGAUAGAAAAUGUUGGGUGGAUUUGCGGUCCCGAUUGCUAGAAUUGCAGCAGGGCCUCGACCUCGAGCCUGCCGACUCUCCAUGAUAUUUCCCAUCGACGCCAUAUUUUUGCCAGCUGCUUCAAAGUUUUCAGUGUUUUAUGAGCAGAUGAUAUAAGUUAUAACUGAGCUUCUUUGCUUUUAUAGGCCAAAGCGUCUGUGCAUUCAUUCAUUGCGCCUUCGGUUUUGGUAAAUCACAGCUUUACAAUUUAAAAAUAGAAUAAUCUAANNNNNUUAAUUAAUUAANNNNNAAAUUCUUCUCAAAGUUGGAUUUACGAGCAGGUUACCACCAAAUCCGUGUGAAGGAGGAGGAUGUUUCAAAGACAGCCUUUCGUACACACGAGGGACAUUACGAGUUUCUUGUGAUGCCAUUUGGACUUACCAAUGCUCCUGCAACCUUUCAGAGUCUCAUGAAUGAUCUUUUUCGUCCAUAUCUUCGGAGGUUCAUACUUGUUUUUUUUUACGACAUAUUGGUGUAUUCUCGAACUUGGGAAGAUCACCUCUCGCAUCUUCGUCAAGUUUUAGAUAUUUUAUCAACUAACAGCUUGUUUGCCAAAGAGUCAAAGUGUCAAUUUGGAGUUUUGCAGGUUGAGUAUUUGGGUCAUAUCAUCUCCGAAAAAGGUGUGGCUGUUGAUCCUGUUAAAAUACAAACAGUCAUUGAUUGGCCUACGCCAACGAUGACGAAGGGGGUUCGUGGAUUUCUUGGUUUGGCUGGAUAUUACCGGAAGUUUAUUCGCAAUUUUGGGUGUAUAGCAGCUCCUUUGACCAUGCUCUUAACUAAAGAUGGCUUCCAUUGGAAUAAGGAUGCAGUCGCGGCUUUUGAUCAAUUAAAAACAGCAUUGACUUCUCCACCUGUUUUGCGUCUACCGGAUUUUUCCCAACGCUUUGUGAUCGAGUGUGAUGCAAGUGGGAUCGGAAUUGGAGCCAUCCUCUCUCAACAAAACAAACCAGUAGCUUAUUUUAGUGAGGCCUUAAAAGGCUCUGCUUUGGCGCUGUCCACAUAUGAAAAAGAAAUGCUUGCUAUCGUUAAAUCAAUCCGCAAAUGGCGACCGUAUUUACUCGGGAAACCAUUUACCAUUCGAACUGACCAAAAAAGUCUCAAAUAUCUGUUGGAACAGCGGAUCACAACACCAGCACAAACUCGAUGGCUACCUAAGAUCCUUGGGUAUGAUUAUGAAAUUGAAUAUAAAAAGGGGGCUGAGAAUCAGGGUGCCGAUUCAUUAUCUCGAAUGGUGGAGUUUUUAGCAAUUUCGUUACCCCAUGCAAAUUGGUGGCCAGUUCUUCAACGGGAGGUACAGCAGGACACGUUUUAUGAAGGCCUAUCUCAGAGGAGCUCGUCUCAGUCUAACCAGUUGUUACAGAGAGAUGGAGUUUGGUUCAAACGUGAUAGAGUUUACUUGAGUUCCACUUCCUCACUGAUUCCUAAGAUAAUCUCCGACUGUCAUGCAUCUCCUGUAGGUGGGCAUUUCGGUUACCAUAAAACUCUUGCUCGCAUCAAGCGUAGUUUUUUAUGGCCCAACAUGAGGCGGACGGUGAAAGAAUUCUUGCAACAUUGUGACAUCUGCCAACGAUAUAAAGUAGAUAAUAUGAGGCCUGCCGGACUAUUACAGCCGCUACCCAUUCCGAAACAAAUGUGGACUGACGUUUCAAUGGAUUUCAUAGAAGGGUUACCAUCUUCUANNNNNUUAAUUAAUUAANNNNNUUUUCCUUUGUUCAAUUUCCGAGAGGCUUUGCAUUCGGAACAAUUCCUCUUUCCCGUUUUGAAUCUUUGCUUUAUUGCUUUACAGAAUUAUUCCCUAAGCUUAUCACGACUAGGGAAUUAUUCCUUUAAGCUGAGGAGGGAACAUUAUUAUUGGGGAAUUAUUCCCCUAAGAAUAUAAGGAAUUAUUCCUGUAGGGGAAUUAUUUCCUUAUGAUUAUGGGGGAUAAUUUUUGCUGGGGAAUUACUCUCCCUAGGGAAUUAUUUCCUGAAGCUUAUAGCAUAUUAUUUCCCUAUAUGUAUAGGGAGUAAUUUUUGCUUGCGAAUUAUUCUUGCUAUGGAAUUGUUUCCCUAUGCUUAUGAGGAAUUAUUCUUGUUGGGGAAUUAUUCUUAUUAGGGAAUUAUUUCCUUAACCUUAUAGGGAAUUAUUCUUAUUAGGGCAUUAUUCUCUAAAGCUUAUAGGGAAUUAUUCUUGCUGGCGAAUUAUUUCCUUAACCUUAUAGGAAAUUAUCAUUGUUGGGAAUUAUUCCUUUAAGCUUAUAGGGAAUUAUCAUUUUGAUAAAAUGGUGUUGCAUUUGAAUGUAUCAAAGAUUUUCUGAAUAAUGUAAGCAUUCAUCAUUGAUAACGUUGAUAUAUACAUUGGCAUAGAUUUCGACUUCGGACUUUUGACUACCAUAUCAUCAGUGUAAGCUUCCACAAUAUUCCUCAACAAUCCAUUGAAGAUUUUGGUCACAAGCCUUUUAAUAGCUGGAACUAGCGUUUUUCAACCUGAAAAGGCAUGACUUUGUAGCAAAAUAGAGCUCUUGGAGUGAUAAAGCUUAUUUUUUUCGCAUCCUUUGGAUGCAUUGGGAUUUGUUGUUUCCGCUGUAUGCAUCCAAAAGGGAAAGCCUUUAGUAGCUAGUGGUAGCAUCCACUAAUUGAUCAAUUUUUGGCAAGGGAAAGGAUCCUUCGGACAGGCUUUGUUAAGGUUUGUGUAAUCUAUGCAUACUCGCCAUUUUUUUUCACACCACAACAACAUUAGAGUUCAAUUCAGGGUAUUGAACAUCCCAAAUGAAUCAAACCUUGAAGAGGCGUUCCAUUCCAUUUAUGAGCAAAUCUCCCAUGUUUUUGUUGCAUUAGUUUUACCAUUGGGUCAGUUGUUAAUUGGUGGUAUGCAACUUCUGGAUAUAUUCAGAGCAUGUUUGUGUGACCAUGCAAAAGCAUCGUACUUCCUCUUGAGUAGGAAAAUCAUAUGUGUCUUUUCCACUUGAGCCAAUUUGCACCCUUUUUUAUGAGGCUAAAGGAUCUAGGGAUAUUGUUUCUAGUUCUUCAAUGACAAGCUCCUUGUAGUGCAAGCAUCGAGACAUUCAAUUUGGAAUUGGAUUUUACAGUUGUUAUUUAGCCCCAUCCUCCAGCAAUUGCUCUGGUGAAGGAAAAGGUUCCUCAAUANNNNNUUAAUUAAUUAANNNNNUCUAACCCUAAGCUAAGCCUAUUUCCUUUCUGGGCAAGUAAAAGCUUUUUCUUAAUUAAUUUAACUGUUUAAUGAAAUUCAGUGUUAUAAAAUAAGACGUUAAUAUGUUUAUACUUAUAUUCAUUCUUUCUUUUUCUUUAUUUUUUCAAAUAAAAAAAUUAUUUUACCUUUUUGGUUUCUCUGUAUACUGGUGCAAGUGGGUGCUUGAGUUUCUUAGUACAUAUAAACUAACGAGUUUACCUCAAAUGGUUUUAAUGUCAAACAAUUUCAGGAGUCAUUUGUUAAGGAUGACUUUACUGCAUAACAUCAGAUAUUUUAUUAGAUAAUAUUUAUGUGAAAAAUAAAAAUUUUCCUGCAAGUCCUUAGAAGUGGUGAACAGAGGAUUAUGUAAUUUAGCAUUUUAGUCAAGUGCUUUAUCAGGAAUCUCACAAUGCGCAGACUGUGAGGCUGAGAAGGAUGACGAGCCGGUUGAGGUGUUUUGUAAAAUGGCGGCGAAGAAUUGCAUAUGUUCUGUACUUUGACUAAUUGAUAGAGGUCUAGUAGAGGUUAAGUGAAGUUCUUGAAGUUUUUGAACAGCCGAAGAAGAGUGAUUUGAACCGGAAGCGCAUACUUGCAAUGCUCUUUUGGGGCUUAGUGUUGGUCAAUGAGGAUGCAUAUAAGAUGAUGGACGAGAUGGGAAAGUGUGGCAUUGGUCCGAAUUCUCGACUUUAUGAUAUAGUCAUUUUCUCAUCAACUAACAGAGGCUAGACAAAUUAAAGAGGCUUACUCAGUUUUUCAGAGAGCAGUAGUAAGCCACCUAACCCAGCCAACUCUGAGUACCUAUGAAAUUUUUAGGAUGCUUUGCAAUCAAGACCUUGUAGAUAUGGCAAUGAGGAUUUGAGAACUGAUGAAGUCAAAGGGCGUGCUUCCUAGAAUGCACAUUUUAUUUUGAAUUCACAGUCUAAACUUGGGAUUACUCCCAUUUCAAUUUUUUUUCCCCGGAUAGCACAUAAAAUGGUUAGAUGCAAGAAUGGAAAAAAAUGAGACAAGUCAAAAUAUUGCCCCAGUAUCAAGCUUCUGUCAACCUUUUACCAGUCUGUGUCUUUUGGCAAGCUAAGUAAUUGAUCAAAGGAGACGCUUCUGGUAGAAAGAUAUGAACCAAAACUUCACUAACAAAAUCAAAAACUCUGAAGAAAACAUCUCACGGCAUAGCUUUUGUGAUUUACAAAGCCAAAAAUACGAAGAAACAGAGAAGAAAAAGCCACAAAAGUUUUUCUGAUUUUCUGAUCUGAGAUGAUUGCGACAUAUUAUUCAGGUAGAAUACCUUCAACACCAUGAAUAAACGUCCAGUCACUCCGAUACAAGUUAAGCGACAAGACUAGCUAAUCAAGAGACAAGUCCUUGCGAGUUUGCUUCGUAUUGAUCUUAAACCGUCCAAGAAUGCNNNNNUUAAUUAAUUAANNNNNAAUAUGGAUUAAGAGAAAGCAUUAGAACAUGUCACAAAAGAAGCCCACAUUUAACCAUUUGAUUUGAUCAAAAUGGGAUUAAUUAAUUAAAGACAAAAUUAAUUAAUUUAGCUAUUUAUUUAUUUGAUUAAAUAAAUUAUUAAAGUGAUAAGAUCACAUUCAAUAAAUAAUGGCUUAGUGGGUGGGUCUAGCACAUGAUAAUGUUUGGUGCCAUUAUUGAAGAUAACGGUGGCUUUAUUUGGUGGAAUGAAUUAUCAUGAACUAGCAUUCAUGUUUCUUCAUUAUCUCUCUCAUUUCUAAACGAAAUUUCGUGAUUCAAAAUCCUAUGAACUCCUAGAACAUUUCUAAGUGUGGACCAACUAGAGGUAUCACAAUUGGGGUGCUUUAAGGAUCUCAAAUCGUGGCAAAACAGAAGCUGUUCGUGCAGAGGUUUAUGUUCUGGACAGUGUUCGUAGCUUGCUGUUUUCAGUCAUUUUCUCCUACUUCACGAAGUCGUUUUUGAAACUACAAGUGAAGUAAGUAAAGUUCAAUCUUUUCUCUUGAUUUUCGUUUUUGAAUGAAGGCGAUCCGAGGUUUCUAGAGCUUCCGCCAUCCGUUUUAAUUUUACUGCACAAAAGUUGCGUUUUUUUAGGAGCGUCAUGGACAAAUGUUGUCCUUUAGGAAUAAACCUGAUGUUCUUACCUGAUGAACUGGUGAAGAAUGUGCAAUAGCUUUACAUUUUUUAAGAUAUGAGAGUUUAACUCUUGGUGGAGAAGCUGUUUGUGAAUAAGCUUUAACAAACACACCUUGAGAAUUUGAGUCUUUAUGAUAUUGAUAUCCAAGACCAUGAUGAUCUGAACUAGAUUUGCUAAGUGACAAGAUAUGGUCUAACUUCUGAGUUCCAGAAUUCAUCAUCUUAAGUGAAUUUUUUGUAUUAUCUAAUUUUAUCGUCACUACAAGUCUUUGUCAUUAAGUAAAGACUUGUAAUGAAUUACUUCGCUCUCAAGUUUCGCCUUAUCAUCUAAAAGAUUGGAUACUUGAAUCAUCAAGGUCACAUUCUCAUUAUAGACUUCUUCCCAUUUAGCGAACAUCAUCUUGUAGCUUUCAUGAAAAACUUUCUUGUCAUUUAGAUCAAUGUCACUGACGUUGCUAUCUGAAUUAUUAUUCUGGUUAACAUGUUGCGCAAUUGUGUCAAGACGAGAAUCAUUGUCUUCUUUGCAAUGAGCUAAUUUCAAGGUUUCAGAUGUGGAUGCAUCUUUGAUGUUUGAUUCAUGUUUAUUGCCAUCAUUAUGCACAACAAGUCCUCCAGCAAGGUCUUCUCCAUCAAUGCUAUCAUUUGAAUCAUUAUCACUCCAAGUGGAUUGCAUUGCUUUCUUUUUCAUAAUAGUGUUAGUAUAUUGUGCUUGUAUGUGUCCUAUGCCUCCAUAUUCUCUGCAUUGAAUACNNNNNUUAAUUAAUUAANNNNNUUAAGCCCGUACCACAACCCAAACUAAUCUCCACUCGCACCGGGUCGGCCCGUAAGGGGUAAAGUGCUGGCCAAAGUGGUGAUUCCAUACAAUUAAUAAAUGAAAAUUAAGUUUGUCAUUGUCUUUACAUGAUGUCGUUUUAAAGAAUAAUUUUGCAAACGCAUAAAAUAGUAUGCAUCCACACAUUACAUCCACACAUUAUAUCUACUAUUCUAGCAUGUAGAUUGUGUGCGAAUUUUGGACACCUCGUAUGUGUUGUAGCUAUCAGCUUUGUCUUUCUCUUCAACUGAUCACAAAGUUAUAAAUUCUUAGAUGCAUACGAUAUAAAAACAUGAAAACAACAGGUGAUCACGGUUGUGUAUGGUGCAAUGUACGGUGGUUUGCGGAGGUUGAGUGGCGGUGCAAGAUGUAACACAAUUCUACGAGACUCUUGAAAUUUUCCCCGCCUAAAAUGAUAAUUUUCAACUUAUCUCUUCAGCUUAAUUGAUUGGACAUCUGAAUUCAAAUCUUGAGAGAGGUAGAGAUAGACAUCCAAAACUGGAUUUGAAUUUAGACCAAUAUCUCUUAUUAUUAAGAAAAUAUAACAUUGUUACUUUAUAACACCCGCUCAACAUAUAAAUUUCUUACCUUAAAUGCUAAAACAUUUCUUUCAUCAUGUUAAACAUUACUAUGUUUGCAACAUGUUGAUUUAUUUUUUAAAUGAAAAAAAAAAGUGGUUCACUUAUUCAACUAUGAAAUAGUUGUGAGAUGGGUUCGAGAGUAUAUAUGCCUCUUCGUACCAUUUUCCUAAAGACGAAUUAUUCUUCUUCUUCUUAUUCACCUUUUUUUUUCGUUUUGGUCUUGGACACUUAAUGAUUUUAUAUUUAAUAAAAACUCAAGAAUUCUUGCUUUUAUAUAUGAUACAAAAGUACUAACAAGAUUGUUAGAUAUAUUGAAACUCUUUAAUAAAUGAAAAUUAUGUGGGAAAAUUUUUAAUCACACUUAAGAUCUUGCAAGCAAAAUUAUCAAACAAAUAAAAUAGCAUAGAUGGAGAGUAAAAUCAAUCGCACAACACAAGAAUUUACGUGAAAAACUCUUAUACCUAAGAAAAACUAUGGUCGCCGAGGACGAUGAGAGAAAAAUCAAUUAAUUAUUCUUGCUAAAAUAUCCUUUUGCUGUUAAUUUUUUUUUUUAAAUGGUGAAGUUCAGUCAAAACCAGAAUUAUUGAAACAAAUUUGAAUUUGGAAGAACUUAAAUGACGUAUUUUUAAUUCCUACAGUUCAAGUAAAUAACUUAUUUUAAUUUGCAACCUGAUUCUAAUUCCAAACUAUUUUGAUUCUAGUUCACCCUAAUUCCAAUCCAUUUUAAUUACUGAUUAAGAAAUGCACCGUUAAACGUUCGCAAUAUGUAUGAAUAUCCACAAAAAUGGCAUUGUGCCAACANNNNNUUAAUUAAUUAANNNNNUAGAACAAACAGUUUGCAAGUGUAACCCAAUUGAGGAAUCUGACAUCACUCGGCUACCUUAUCUACAAGCUGUUGUUAAAGAAACUUUGAGAUUGCACCCUGCAGCUCCCUUAUUACUUCCCCGCAAAGCCACAAAAGAUGUUGAAAUUGCAGGCUUCACAGUGCCAAAAGGUGCACAAGUUUUUGUCAAUGUAUGGGCUAUUGGCAGGGAUGAAAGCACAUGGGACAACCCUCACACUUUUAUUCCCGAAAGGUUCUUAGGGUCAAAUGCUGAUUUCAAAGGCCAGAAUUUUGAGCUAAUUCCCUUCGGAGCUGGACGACGAAUUUGUCCUGGUUUGCCAUUGGCAAUCAGAAUGUUACAUCUGAUGUUGGGUUCACUUAUUAACUCUUUUGAUUGGAAGCUUGAUAACCACAACAUGGACAUGGAAGAUAAAUUUGGCCUCACCGUACAAAAGGCUCAACCCCUUCAUGCUGUCCCUGUUGCCAUCUAGUUCUAUACUAUAGUUCGUAGCCAAUAUAUAAAGCGCUUGGUGGUAGCCACUAUAUAAAGCGCUUGGUGGUUAGUUAUAUGUGUGUGUAAUCAUUCUCAAGUGUGGGCGCUCUCAUUUUUUUUUUAUGUAGACACGUAACUUAACAGAGUUAAUCUUUAAUAAACUAUAAAGUCAUGCGAUUUAAUAGCAUUGAAAAUUGACUCUAAUAAAUUGCACCGCUUAAAAGUUUGUUCACAUGAAAAAAAAUGAGAGUUCCCGCACUAUAUUAACUCUUAUAAUUUAUUAGCAUCUAUCUAAUUAUUCAGCUUGUUUAAUCACUUUUGAGUGGAUUAAUAUUUUAAGCAAAAUAUGUAAAACUUUGAAUAUAACAAAGGAUCGUUAUAUAUAUCUUUUAAUAAAUCUUAUUUAAUCAGUACUAGUUUUGCAAGUGAGGAUGAUUUUUUUCCUAUCUCAGCGGUUGAAAUUAUGCGAUUAUCCAUUAAAUGUUUGCGCGAUGUUUUUGUCUCUUUCUUGUGUAAAAAAAUAUGCAUUCAGGGUCAUAUUGAGUUUUUUGCAUGGUAUAUACAAUAUCAGUCCAAGUCAUCAAGCUAGCUAAUUUGGCAAUUGUAUGAUUUUGUCCGCACCACCGACAUCUUUAAAUAAUGAAUUACUAGAAAUGGAAGCAAGAUAUAUUGCAGAAAUGUAAUUGUCAAAAUGUAAUUUGUCAGAUUAAAUUAGCUAGUGAAGUUACGUACGGAUAGAGAAAUUGUUUAUCUAAAAAGGCAAAAGUGAGAGCGUAAUAAUAGUAUUGUUUUACUAAAACUUUCUCAAGGUGUAAGAGUCCUAGAGUAAGAGCCUAAUAGCUUAAUAUGAGAUUGGCAACUAAAGUUGUGCACAGAUAGAGAAACUACUUGUCUCACAAGCAUAAAGUAAGAUCCUAAUAACAGUANNNNNUUAAUUAAUUAANNNNNAAAUAAGUAUAUUAGAUGUAGGAAAUGUACAUAGAGGAGGGACAAGAAGUUCGGAAAGGAAAAAAGUGAAAAAUCCCCAUGCCCAAGAAUUACAAAUCCUUUAAGAUCAUAGAUUCUAACUAAUGAUAUUACACCAUAGCUGCUUCCUUAUUGAUCAAAAUAAUGAAGAAAGACAUAUCUUUAAACACUUACCAGGGGAGAUUGACGCAAGAGUGUUUUCCGAUUUCCUAAGUCUGAAAAUAGACAAUGAAAUAGAAAUCUAGUUUGGAUGAGCUAGUUAAUGAAGGUAUCCAAAUCUAGUUUUUUAUCAAUUAACUUGCAUGAAUUUAUUUAGAAUAUAUUAGAUUGCAUAGUGUAAAUGGUUUGACAGAUAAAUGUGUCUAAUUUUUAAGGAAUUUUACCGAAUCAAAAUUGGACUUUUAAGAUAUUAAAAAAAUAGUCUACAAAGGUCACAAUUGUCAAGAACUUGCAAUAAGUUAAAAGUUAUGAAUUUAUUCGUAUUACAAUAUUUUGAUUUAGUUUGCUAGUUGUAUACCUUUGGAAAGAUUUGUGAGUUAGAAGAACAAUGAAUUUUACUGUGGUCAAUUUUGAGUUCUCUACAUAAAGAUAUAGCUAAAUGAAUAUAAAUUGUUCAAAAGUACUAUAGCAACUGAUUAAGAAGCAAAAUAUAUUUUUGGUUCUUUCUUUCAGCUACUUUAGAACUAGGGGCACAAUUUGAGUUGAUUUGAGUUCUCAAAUGAUAAAGAUUGUAUCUUGGGCUUGGAAGGAUGUUCUAAGGUUAUUUGUAUGAUGGUUUGAGGUAGAAACUUUAGAUUGUAAUUUGAGAAGAGUUCUCUUAUUAAGAGUUUCUUCAUUUAAUUAUAUAUCUCUUAGGUGAAUUUCUUAAAGGGAUGAGUUAGGAAACCAUAUAUAUCUCUUGUAGAGUUCUUUGAGUAAGGAGCUUUUCAAGGAAGCCAUGUUUCUCUUGUAAGAUUCCUUGGGUCCAGAGCCUUCAUAAUCUAGGACUCUCUCAAUUGAGUGAAGCCAAUCUAGAAAUUUGUUUGUAUCCUUCCUCCAAAUUCUGAAAUAUCGACCCUGAUAUCAAAGGAUCGCUAAUGUUUGUUGUGCCUUUGAUUUUGGGAACGAGGAGUGGAGCCACUUGUAGAGUGUUGAUCAUUUUGAAAAGGGUUUGAAACCAUCUCCAUUAUCGUUUGAAGCUUCAUUUUCUGAACUUUUAAUAAGGAACAGCCUUGAGUUGCUUCAAGUUGUUGGGACAUUAGUAGUUGUUGCAUUUGUCUUCUUAGAUUUCUUUUUCAUUAUAGGGCUUUUUCACCACUAUAAGGAAUCUACCUAAGAGAUACAAAGUUAAAAUGUAGAAAACCGUAAUAAGAGAACUAAUUUAUAUAUAUAUAUAUAUAUAUAUAUAUAUAUAUAUAUAUNNNNNUUAAUUAAUUAANNNNNACCUAGCCAAUUCUCACGUAACUAACAUGCAUAAAUAAAUUAAAUGGCAGCCAACUCACACGUAAAUUACAUACAUAAAUAAAUUAAGCUCACAUCAGACAUAAAAGAGUAUGUGGCACUAGGAUUAAACAAUGUUCUAGCAUCUUUAGAGAAUAAAUUUAAAGUACAUGUCACCACAUCAUUCGACACUUGUGCAUCUUUCUCAAUCAAAGCAAAAUCACAUCCUUGAAUCUUUUGUUUCUUUUUCUUGGCAUCAUCUGCUUCCUUGUUCGCAGUAUCCUUUCUUAUCUUUGGGCAAUCUUUAAUUGUAUGUCCCAGCUGUCCAUAUGCGAAACAAGCUCCAGUUUUCCAAAAGCAAACUUCAGAAUUGGUCCUACCACAAUGCUUACAUGUAAGAAUAGUCUUUUGACCACUGCUAUCACCCUUUAAUAUUUGAUGCCCAUCUUUAUUAUUAUUAACUUUUUUCUCUCUGCCCCUUUCUUUUUGUUUAAUUACUCUCAUAACCUUUGUGAUUCAAGUAUGUUUCUCUCUACAAUAGUAGCACGAUUAACCAAAUCUGUAUACGAUGUCAGCCUGAGAAUUUUUAGCUGAUUCUUAAUGUUUUGUUGUAGUCCUUGAAAAUGCCUGCAUCUGCUUGCUUCAUUAGCAACCAACGUUGGUGCAAAUCGAGACAAAGCAAUAAAUUCCUGUUUAUACUUGGUAAUAGAUUUAUUUCCUUGUUCCAAACUCAAAAAUUCAGACUCUUUGUUGUCCCAAAUACGUACACGAAAAUAUUUCUCCAAAAAUGCCCUCUCAAAAUUUUCUCACGUUAUCGGCGCUUCUGCUAUUUCAGCCCUCAAUAAAUGAGCUUUAGCAUCCCACCAAAGAUCAACUUCUCCUUGCAUCACAAAUGAAACAAAAAUCACCCCUUGAUCAUCAUUACACCGUAUUGCAACAAAUAUUUGCUCCAUUUGCUUCAACCAUGGUUAAGUUGCUAUAGGGCCUGUAGUACCCUUGAACACCGAUGGUUCUAACCUCUUAAACCGCUCUAAAAUGACCACAUUUCCAUCAUCGCCUUGAUGAUUUUGUCCUUGCCUUUGCUCUCCACAUCUAGCUACAACAUCACCAUGGGUCAAUUCCUCAAUUAAUUUAUUUUGCUGUUCACAAAAUCUCACCAUCAAAGCCAUCGAAGGGUUAGCCUCCUCAAUAAUCCUACGUAUGGUUGGGUCAACAUCAUUGCUAGCACCAGGUGUUGUCCUUAAACCUGAUCCAUCGGUUCUAGCUGGCACUCUACGUGACAUUCUCCUAUAUGACAGAUUUUGAUUUAAUUAAGAAGAGAAAAUAAUAACAAUAAUAAUAGUAGUAGUAGUAGUAAUAAUAAUAAUAAUAAUAAUAAUAAUAAUAAUAAUAAUAAUAAUAAUAAUAAUAAUAAUAAUGAUNNNNNUUAAUUAAUUAANNNNNUUGCUACAGCAAACAUACAGCAACACAUAUAUUCAGUCAAUAAACUAUCAAGAUUGUUUAUCACUCAACCACAAAUAAAUUUAGUUCAUGGUUUGCAAAAGAAAAAUAAAGAACAAAGUUCCAGCCAUGAAACAUAUCCCCAUAAAUAAAUAAAUAGAAAACGAGAAAGCAAGAGAAGAAUAAGAAUGAUUGAGCUCCCAAUUGAUUUCUGCAAAUUCUCCUCUUGUGCAGCCCUUAAUCUCUCUCUUGAAUCUUGUUUUUCUUUUGUUUCUUUUUGUUUUUCUCCUUGGGUGACGGCUCUCCUCCAUUCCUUAUGAUGUGUGCUUCUUUUAUAGUUGAAAAUUAGGGUAAACGAAAGCCUAAGUCGCGCAUAAGUCAUAUUAGGAAACUGCAGAUCGCAAUUCUGCAGUUAUCCCGCACAGAAUUUUCUCUGUCGUUGUUCCAGGAUUGCUACAGCAACGGCUACAGCAAUGGUUGCUAUAGCAAUAUCUAUAGCAACUACACUGUUCCAGAUUUGUUUCAACUCUUUUGUAGCCAUGUUCUUUUCUUAUUUUUUGCAAGUCUAUUGCAUAGCAUUCCUUCCAUGAAUUAUAAGCUUCUGGAAACCUACAAUUAUGCACACAAUUUAAGCACAAAUUACUUUAAAUCGAGCAAAACUUAUUAAGAUUGACUAAAAUAAUUAUUUAUGCAAAAUGUAACAAAAAUACAAUAGAAACACAUAAUUUACUCUCUAAAUAGUAUUGAUUUAAAUCUAAAAGUGCCAUGAUAACUCUCAUUUCAUAGAGUUAUCAAUGUGCUCCCAUUUCCACUCAAGAAUAGACAGUGGUUGAUGUUCUCCUAUAGGUUUCUAAUGUUUUACGUUAACUUGCUGACAAGUUAAACAAUGUGCUAUAAACUACACUAUUUCUCUCUUCAUCCCCUCCCACCAAUAAUGGUCCCUCAAAAUGCGAUACAUCUUCUUCCUACCUUUAUGCAUAGUAUAUGCCGAACUAUUUGCUACUUCUAAAAUCUGGUUCUUCAAAUUUGAAUUAUUCGGCAAACAAAGUCUACUGCCCAUAACUAAAGUUAUAUUAUCUCUCAGUGAAAAGUUAGUAUGCAGUACAUUAUUCACAUAUUCUUUUUUUUAAUCAAUUUCGAAUCUUGAUCCUGCAUCUCUUGAAUCUGAUCAAUCAAAACAGGCCUCGCCUGAAAAUGUGCCAAAAGUGCUCCAUUAUGAUCCACUGCCACUUCUAUAUCUAAAGACUUCAAAUCAAUCAACAACAAAAGGUAUGACACUUUCAAGUGGGAUAUCAAACUCAAAGACUUCCUACGGAGAGCAUUAGCUACCAUUUUACCUUGCUUGGAUAGUAAUCAAUGACACAAUCGUAAUUUGCAAUCAACUCAACCCAUUUAUGUUGUCUCAAAUUUAAUUUCUUAUNNNNNUUAAUUAAUUAANNNNNUAAAAAAAAAAAAAAAAAAAAAAAAUUGAAGAUAAGAUCGAUCUCAAAUGUCACCCGCGUCAAUUACUAGGUUGCGUUUGCUCGACAGUGGAAAGAAGAAAAAUAUUAGGACUGAAUUAUUUUAAUAAACUUUAAUUUAAUCCCAUGCCCCACUCUUUUAUCCUGCCCCCGCGCUUUCGAGCUUCCGUGUGAUAACCAUAAAAAAUAUGUUCCCAUCUUCACCGGCGAGGAUAACCUUUAUACGUUUAAAAUAAUAUUAAAUAAAUUUUUUAUUAUAAAAAUAUUAUAACUCGAAUUUUAAUAUUUAUUUGUUUAUUUUUUAUUAACUAAUAAUUUGAACGUUAAAUAUUAAUUAGAAAUAAACAUAAUAUUAAUUUACUAAGUUGUUAAUUUUUAUCCAUAAUUAAUUCAAUAUAUUAAUUAAAUAAAAAUGAUUUUAUUAAAUAAAUAAUUUAAUAACAUGAUUCAUGAUAUAACAGUCGCUAAUUUGUUCUUAUACAUAAAAUACUUACAAUUGUUCCUAUGCGUAUAUAAAAAAAUGAAAAAAAUAAUUAAACUUAUAUUAUUUUUAUUUGAAUAAUUCAAUUAGUUAGUAAUACAACAUGUAAUUUAGAAAAAGGAAAGAAUAAGUGACAUGUUAUACAGGUCUUGUAGCCUAUUCCAAUGUAUCUAGUAUGCAUGUUUCAUCUAUUGUACGGUAUGUCAUCUAAAUGAUAGAAUUUAUAAACAACAUGCUUACGAUAUUUACUCUCGAGACAAAAAUAAUAUGAUGUAUUCUCCGUGACUUAUUAUGACAUAUUACGCAUUAAAUUUUAAUCUAGUCUAAUAUACCAAACAUGUCUUUAAGAAAAUGCCCAAUACACUAUCAAGAGUCAUGAAUUAAUUUAAAAAAAAAAAGUGUUCUCCGAAACUUGUAAAUCGAGGAUCAAGAUCCUACCCUAAUUUUUAGUUGAUGUUUGUAUCAAGUUUGCGUUUUGCGUUUUGCUGAAAAAGAAAAUAAAUGGUGAAUAUUAAAGAAAACGCAAAAUUCUUCAAUUUUACUGAAAUAGAAAAGAGUUGGGGGGAGGGGGGUUAAGAACUUAAGAUUAAGGUCAAUUAUCACGUGACAGCUGUUCAAAAACUGGUGGCUUGCGUUAAAUUUACAAUUUUUUUUUUCCAAAUUUGCAUUAAUUUACGGGGUUUGAGAAAGGGAAAGGUAAAGAUAGUGAUAGGUGGACGAGACUGGUUCAUUAAUCUCGACCCCAAAAUGCUUAAAAAAAAAGAAAAAAAAAGAAAAGAAAAUAAUAGAAAAGCUAACGCGUCAACAAACUUGAUUGAUUUGAAGACAAAAGGGACCCGUCCUUUUGAUUAUGAUAAUAACAAUAAAGAGAAAACGUGUUCCAUGAGCAUCGCCAUUUUCUUUGCGUUCGUUUGGGNNNNNUUAAUUAAUUAANNNNNUGUAUGAUAGAAUAAAAUCUUUUUUCUAAAAUAAUUUGGGACAAUGAUUAAUUUUUUAGACAUUUAAUAUUACUUUACAUAUUUCCAAUGCUAUACAGAUUUACAAACUAAUUUUUUUUUAAAAUUAUGUCUAUAUUUUUCAACUGUGUCUAUAUAAUGAAUUUAACAAGCGUAUUUUACCUCUAUUUUACUUAUAUUAAAAAAAUUGAAUCAAAAUAAUAAUUUUUAUAAUUACAGAUCUAUUAAAUUAUAAUCUUUUAUUAUAAUAAAAUUAAUUUGAUCCCAGCAUAUUUUAUAAUUAUAAUAUUAGUUUGGUCCUAUCAUUAUAUUUGGUCCUACCACUAUAACGUUAGAGAGGUUUUACUAUACAUACCGGAUAAUUAAUAAAAAAAUGAGAAUGGGCAGGAAAAACAAAAAGUAAAAAAUAAAAAGGGCAAUUUUUGCUAGUAAAAUAGGAAAAACCUAUGGUGCAACUGUGGUACCGUACCACAGUUGCAUCCAGCCGUUGGAUAUCAGUGAACUCCACUAAUCUAAGUGCAUCCAACGGCUGGAUGCAACUGUGACACGGUACCACAGUUGCACCGUAGCCUGAUCCCGUAAAAUAUUAUAAAAAGUAUGUUAAUAAUUAGCAAAUGAUUUUUGGAUAAAGCAUGAGCAUUAAAAAAUGUAAAAGGUGACGACAUAAACAAUAAUAACCGAUUGGCUAAAAAGAGAAACGCACCAGGCAAAAAGAGGAGGAGAGGAGAAUCGCGAGUGUGGGACCCGCAUUCUAAAGGCGAGAACCAGCGGGGCGGACCGCCGCCUGAUGACGAUUUGAUCAUAUCUUCGGCUUCAUCAAAGUAAUCUUUCAAGCUCUUUCCGUUACCUUCACUCUCCUCCUCCGAAUAUUCUCUCACGUUAACUCUCUGUUUCGUCUCAGCUUCAUCUUCUACUAACUCGCUACUCUUCUUCUCCACAAAUAUCCUCGUCGGCGUCGUUUCCGUCAUCACUGUCGUCGUUGCAGCUGAUGUCCGCUCCGUUGACACCGCUACUCGCUUCAAUAUAGGAUUCCGUUUCGGCUUCUCGGACGACGACGUAAUUUGUCGACGAAAAACCGGCGAGGAAACGGCCGAAAAGAUGCAAGCUCCGACCGUCGCCAUCUAGAACCAAAGUAAGAAUUUCUCUCUCCCUCUGUUUGUUUUGUGGCGCUUUUGUGACUUGUGAUGUUAUGUAAGGUUCUUGGAAUGUUUUUCCAUCUUUAGUAAACAGAUUUGAUCUAAUAUAAUUUAAAAGUCAAUUUAUUGUGAAUGAACGGAAUAUAUGAUUAAAAUAAUAUAAAUGAACAACAGAACAAGGAGGGGAAAGUGCGAAAACGAGUGUAUUUUUCUCUUGGUGUCAUUUCGUUUUAAAAAUUAUUUUGAAAAUUUUAUUAUNNNNNUUAAUUAAUUAANNNNNAGAUGUCUUUAAGUGGCGGAGGUUGGUGGUUUAAUUGGCAGAGGUAGUUGUGAAGGACAUCUUGGAUUUCAUUUUCAAUGACAGCUAGAUGUGGUGCGGUGAACCAUUCAUAUACCUGGUCUUGAGUCCAAAAGAGUUUUGUGUCUGGAUGUUGGAAGUAUGGCCUGUGAAUGAUAAAGACUGAGGUAAACAUUUGUGCUUCCGAGGCAGGCAUACGUUCAAGGUUGUAAAUUUCUGACAGUUGUUGGAGCUUCUUUCUCCACCAUGGUAUUGGGGAGAACCAUUCAAGUAAUGUCCAGGUAAGAGAGGUGGCUUUGUCCGGGUCGAGGAGAUGUUCCAAAGUGGGAGUAAUUGGGAGGACUAACUUAGUGGCAUAAAGGACUGUUAGGCACCAGAGGUACCAUAACACAUCUUCAGUGGUUUCUCUGGAUGGAUCAAGGGUUAAACCGGUAAGGAACAGAUUUUCUGGGUGGAAAGAGGAAAAUGGAAAAGGUUCUGUGACAAGGUAGGCUUUCAUGAAGAAGCGAAAGAGAGCUUUUCUUGCAAACUCCUGGAUGGCAAAGACAGAAGAAAAGGUUUUAUUAAAGGGAAAAGUUUUCUUGGUGAGAGCCUCUAGGGGUAGUGAUGUAGCCAUGGAGAUGAUGGGAAAGUGGUAUGUUGUGGAAAACAGGGUGAGAGGUUUGGAGAGUCUGGAUAGCAUAUCAAGGAUGAGGUUUUGGGAUCCCUUUAUAUGCUUGACCGAAAAGUCAUAUUUGGAAAACCAAUCUUUUAAUCUGAGUAACUUUUUUUCAGGAACAAUUUUACCUUUGAAAUUGAGAAUAUUGGGGAAGGCGGAACUGUCCAUACGGAUGAGAAAAUGGUGUCCAAUCAGAUGAUACUCAAACUUGUUGAUGCCAUUCUUUACCGCUAAGAUUUAUUUGAAUACGCUAUGAUAAUGCUUCUGUGUGUCAGAAAAUUGUCCACUAGCGUAAGCGAUAAAGUGUUCUUUGCCAUUGAUUUCUUCAAGGAGGAUGGCACCCCAUGAGUCAUCACUUGCGUCUGUCUGCAAUAUGCGCUUUCCAUCAGUAAUCAACUUUAAUGGAAGCGAAUUUUGCGCAAUUUGCUUGAGAGUAGUGACAGAAUUUGUGUGGUCAGUAUUCCACUCUGGGGGCUUCUUUUUCAAUAAAGUCGAAAGGUGAUGAGUGUAGUGAUCCACAUGUGCGAUGAAGUCUCUGAUGUAAUUGAUGAUGCCGAGAAACUAUUAAACUUGCCUUUUGGAAAAGUGCUGAUCUGGAAAGUUAAGCAAUUCUUGGGCAAUGUGUGUCUGGCUGAUAAUGGCCAUCUUUUAUGAUCAUACCAAGGAAUUCAAUAUUGUCGGUAGCAAUGGUACUUUUCUUGGCCGAUAACAUAAUUCCAUGACUGUGGACAAUNNNNNUUAAUUAAUUAANNNNNCGUGAGAAGGAUGACAGGUAAUGCGACACUUCUCAUGUUAUGUUAACAUUUCAAUUAUAUUAUUGAUUAUCAUUUUAAUUUGGAUAAUAUUUUUUGUUUAGGAGAAUAUAUCAAUCAUGUAAUUUUUAAUUUUGAAAAUUAAAGAAAUGAUUGAACUGAUUUUUUCUUAUUAAUUGAUAGCUUGGAUGCAUUUUGUUACAUGUUAUAUAAUUAUGAAUACAUAUCUUUUUUGGUAAUUUAAUUACACAAAAGUAUUUUUAGUUUUACACAACCAAACUGUUUAAUGGUUCAAAAGUACUUUUUUAAUUGACAACCAAACACCCAAUGACUUUUUGUCUAAAAACUCUAUUGAUGUAAGCUCUACUCCUAUAAGCUCUAUUGCUAUAAGAUCAAUUUAAUAAGCUGUACCAAACAGCCUUACUGCAUGUGCAAGCAUUUAUUCAUAGCCGAUUACAUGAAAGUCGUCUUGUAUUAGUAGAACUUUACGUACGCCGAUGAAAUUAAAUAACAUCUAUUAUAUCAUUCACUUUAAUUCACUUUGUGAAAAGUUCCUCUCAAAGUGGUGGCCAUAUAUUUAAUGAAUCUCCAUAAUAUGGUGAGAUUAUUUAAUUUAUUAGUAUAAAUCACAUGGUAAGAACCGUGUCUCUUAAUAAUUUCUCUAUAUGCAACCGACAUAACAUAACUCUCCUUAAUUUUCAAAAAUUUCUCACACGUUUUCUAUUUUUUAUUUUAGUAUACAUAUAUUUUUAGUGAACCAUUGCAAGACGAGAGAAUAUGUUAUUAUUGAUCAAGUUGGGCAAAAAAAAAAUUCUAACUCAAACCAGUCAAAACAAACAUAUUUUAUAAGUUGAAAAAAAAUUUUACAAAAAAAAGAGAGAGAAAUAACUUUUUUUGAGAUUCUAUACAAUUUUUUCUUUUGCAUUAUAUGAGAUUAUUACUCAAAUUAUAAAUAUUAAAUAUUAUACAUUACUGUUCAAAUUCUUACCGGAAUGAUAUUUAUGCUGCGUUUACUUUUUGGAUUGGAGUGGGAAUCCUUGGAUUAGGAGUGUGGAGUGGGAGUGGAAGUAGGGUGUUUACUUAGACUAAAUAAAAGUAUGGAUUGUCAAUCAGAAUCCCAAUUAUUUGUUUACUUUGUCUUGGAUUGGGAGUAAAUUAUUUUCAAUUAUAAUUUUAUCCUUAUGUAAAGAAUUAUAAUUUGUAAUUAAAAAAUUAAUAAAAAUAUAUUUGGAAAAUAAAAUAAAUAUUUUAUUAUAUUUAUAAAUUAAUAAUAAUUACUAAUAUUCUUAAUUAUGUAAAUCAUAAUUUUUUAUUAAUUUUAAUUUAAAUUAUGUGAAUAAAAAUUAUUAUUAAUAGCAACACAAAUGAAAUAUUAUUAUUGAUAAUAUAGUACAAAAUUAAUAUUUUNNNNNUUAAUUAAUUAANNNNNUCUACAUUAUUCUAUAUUUUGGGGAGAGAAAAAAAAAAGACAAAAUCUUUUAGAUCAUCUACAUUAUUCUACAUUAAUCUUUUUAUUUUUUUUUCUUAUGAAAAAGCAAUUAAAUUAAUAAGUAGAAAUUUCUUUACAUUUUCGCCGGAGAAUCAGAGUCAAAUUCAAAUACAACGACUCAAGCGCAAAAGCUUAUAAAUAGAGGAGAGCAAAAAUAAAGCCCCGUUCCAGUUCUCUUCUCUGUCAGAGGCUACGGAUUUGAGAGAUUAAAGAACAUCAAUCGAACAGUAAGACUCCGUACUCUGUUACUCAAAGUUGCAAAAACUUUUAGGUAAAAUUUUUCGGUUAAUUUUUUAAUUUUCGAGAAUAAAGAGAGAGAAAAAAAACAGAUGGGAUUAUGUUUGUCUGGGAGUGAUGUGAGGGGAGGGAAACAAGCCGUAGGUGGGGCCCAGCUCCGGCCCACCACCGCGGCUGAUCAGAACAAUGUUUCUGGACAAAACGACGCCGUUGAUUUCUUCUUCAAAUCUCGCGGUCUUCAAGCCCUUUUCACCCAAAUCGAGGUAUAUGUGUAUACCUGAAUUUAUACGAGUCUUUCGCUGCCACUAUUAAUAAACUAUUUUCAGUUAAUUAAUUAAUUAAAAAUUUGUGAUUAGUUUAUGUUUUUUAAUUUAUUUAUAAUUUUUUAUUUUAAUUUUUUAAAUUUGAUUUUGUUCGUGUCUGUAAUUGUGAUGGAUUCUCAAAUGGUCACUCGUUUGAAAAUCUAUUCCCAAAUUAUGUUUGUUGUUAUUACUUAUUUGAUGACUUGUCGGUGUAACAUCGAACAACUUAAAUCGUCUAUAUUUAAUAAAAGUUAUUUGAUAAUUCGAGUACAAAUAGAGAGUAUAGAUUCCUAUUCAAGAAUCAACCGCAAUCCCAAACAUGCCUUUUUUUUAAAUAAUGUAAGAUGAGUAUUUGGAAUUUUGGAGAGCGAAUAUUUUACCUGGUGCUCCUUCAAAGGACAAAGGACUUAAGCAUCUUCUCAAAAGAAUGCCUAUCGGGUGCUUCUUUGAGAAGCAUUUUUCUUUCUUUCUUUUUUUUGAAUUUGUUCUGGUGGCUGAUCUUUUGCUGGUGUUGGUUGGACGGUUUCACACCAAGCAACUUCUUUUGUUUUGCAUAUGGAGAACAGUAAGUUUAACUGCUUAUACCCAAUAACAACAUUCUGUGGAGUGAAUUUUAGAUUAAGAUUGAUUAAGGUAAAUAAAAAAAGAAUGGUGUUGAAUGCACAAUGGCCUUGUGAACGUUGAGAAAGUUGAUGUUUGAUCCUGUUGAAUGCACAGUGGUUUUCCUGUGUAUCCUCAAAGUUGACUAUUCGGUUAUGCCUCAUUUAUCAAAUUUGACUCAUACCCCUCAUGAUCAAAUUUGACUNNNNNUUAAUUAAUUAANNNNNUAAAAAAUAAAGAAAAGAUUAAUUUAAUUGGAAAAAAUAUAUAUAUAUAUAUAUAUAUAUAAAAAACUUAAUGUGGUUACGUUUAAUAUAUAGGAUAUUCUGGAAGUGAUUUACAAGCCUUGUGUGAAGAAGCUGCAAUGAUGCCGAUUAGAGAGCUUGGUACUAAUAUUCUUACCGUCAAAGCAAAUCAGGUACUUCCGCAAGAGCCUUGUUGAACAAAAUUAAAGAGAUAUUCUUUUCUUUAUCUUUUUUCUAUUUUAUCUCUUUCAAAAUUCUCUCUCUAUUUUUUACUUGAUGAAUAAGGAAUGUCAUUUGAUAUUAAUUGAUAAUUUUACAAUACCAGCUAAGACCACUUAGGUAUGAAGACUUUCAGAAGGCAAUGGCCGUCAUUAGACCGAGCUUAAACAGAAGCAAGUGGGAAGAGCUUGAACAGUGGAAUCGGGAGUUUGGCUCUAACUAAAUUUCUCUUUAUCGCAUACAUGAUAUGCUUGAAACCAAUGUGUGUCGGCUUCACUGGGAAAAUUAAACCGGCACACAACUGGGUAAAUGAAAAUCCUCUAGUAGUAUUACAUGCCUGGCCAUAUGAAACUUUGUAUGUGUAAAUUCUUCAUAUUCUUUUGCGCGUAUGUUGUAAUAUUUUAUGUAACUAAUCUAAAGAACAAAACUUAUAUGUAUUAAAGAAAUUUCAAAUUGUUUAAUUGACACGAGGAUAGAUUUGAAUAUUAAAUGUGUU